CACACAGUAAGUCCAACAGAUGGAACAAUGAUGCUGCACCCAAGAGCUCGAAAUCUGAACUGUAAUCAUGAUUUUCUCUCUUCCUGGGAUACCAUAUGGGAACACACAGUAAAGUCUGCAAGGCACGCUGGUUAGCAGGGGAAGUACAGCAGAACCAGAGACACAGGAGUGGCAGAUAGAAGACAGAACAGAAAGUGGCAACGGGAGCAAAAGGACUGUGGAAAGCGAGCAGUGAAAGAAAUAGAAUCCCAAGGCAAAAAACAGCCUUCCCACACCACACAAAGGCUCUGGCAUUGUGAUGAUGGUCUUACCUUCACAUCUGAAACAGGAUGAAGAAACUCAAGUGAAAAGAGCCAACAGUGACAGCCUGACAAUGGGAUUUUGUCCUGUCCCUUUCAGAGGCCAUUUCCCCUAAUCCAGGCUGGGCUGUUGAACAAGACCCCCCUGAACAUGAGCAGCACCUCCAGUGAGACAUGAGCCUUCCUGGCAGGUCUUGUUCAACUCUCCAUCACACAAAGGUACUUUUACUACACAUGGAGACUCUCCAUCAUGCUCACUCUGAUUUCUUACUGCUUCAGAUACCACAGCAAUGUUAAGCAAUAUUAAUGAUGUUUAUGCAACCUCUACUGCAAUUCAGUUCCACAGGACAUCAUGUGUCAUUUGAUCCUGUAAUUUUGUAGCCUCUCCAGACUUAAUCUGACCUUAACUGGUUUAACACAACUGACUCAGAACCAAACCAAAAUACUGAACUUGAGGUUGAAUGUGUGGUUGAAGGAUCUUUUUUUUCCUUCUAAACUGAGGCUAGAAAUAAACCAGAGAUAUUCAGUUAUAAGGUCAUCCUGAAUGAAAGAACUGAGAUGAAGAUUUUCUGCUUUCAUUCUGAUCUAUCAAAUGGAGAUGGAAACAUUCUUGAAAUGUUUUGGCUUUGGCAGUAGCUAUGAUCUGUCCUCAGAUGAGCCUGCAUGCAUAAUUGAAAUGAUAGCAGCAGUUCUGCUACUGAGGCUCAUAUGAUACUUACCUUCAAGAUGGUCUGCAAUAACAGGAGUGACAGCAUGAAUUUGGCAUAGAGAACUAUACAGACUGAGCUACAUACCUGUAAGCUACCAUCAUAUGGGAAUGUUUACUCACUGAUAUUUGCUAUUGAAAACAUUGGUAUUUUUUGAAGUAAUUUAUCCUAACCCCUACACUCCUGGAUGUUGAAUGAAGAAUUUUGUCAUGGACUUUCUCCUUGCAUCUCUAUCUGGACAACAUUGUGCAAACACAGCAAAAGUUCCAUCAACUUUGGUAACAUCAAUACAUCACCCUUGACUCACAUAUUGAAUAUGAUGUUCAUUAAAGUUCAUUCCAAUUUAUUAAAAGGGUAUCUAAAUAGAAGAAUGUGCAGUUGACUUCAGCCAGGCCUGAACCAGACACUACAAUUUCUGAAUUACUUUAUUACCCACAGUCAACUAAAUCAAUAAUAUCUGGAUCAAAACCAUCUCUCUUUCAGCCUCAUAAUUACAGAAUGAGAUUCUUCAUUGUACUGUUGUUGUGGAUUAAAUUGAUUCCACAUACUUCCAAAGAAUGGUAUUUUUAAGGGCCCCAUCUGUUCUGUUUUCCUUCUCACGUUCUCCUGUCAGCUAAUUUGUCAACCUUUAACUCCUUACUCGGGCAUCUUCUGAAAAUGUGUAAUCAUCAAUUCCAGUGCAAAACCAAGGUGGAUGCUGCCCAUUAUAACUUAAAUGGCUACAACUCAUCAGUAGCACAAUAUCAAGGGGAGAUUUUGGUAAAGGAAGAGGUCAGAUGAAAAAGUAACACACCUCUUGUGACUCAUGAUCUAAUAUAUUUGUUUGUAUUCAAAAAUUGUAAAAACUCUCUGAAAGAAAGAAAAAAAAAACAAGAAAGAAAAGAAAAAUGAUAACUGCACAUGUUGAUGAUGCCCCAGGAUAUUUUAACUUGCUUGCCAAGAUAUGCUUGGGUUUGUGAAGCUA